rnacentral:rRNA from 1 species
UACCAGCACCCCGAGUGGUCGGGACGAUUAUUGGGCCUAAAGCAUCCGUAGCCGGCCUUACAAGUCCUCCGUUAAAUCCAGCUGCUUAACAGAUGGGCUGCGGAGGAUACUAUAAGACUAGGAGGCAGGAGAGGCAAGCGGUACUCAGUGGGUAGGGGUAAAAUCCGUUGAUCCAUUGAAGACCACCGGUGGCGAAGGCGGCAUCCUGGACCAACACUGACGCUGAGUGAGCGAAAGCCAGGGGAGCAAACGGG